AUUGAACGCUGGCGGCAUGCCUUACACAUGCAAGUCGAACGGCAGCACGGGUGCUUGCACCUGGUGGCGAGUGGCGAACGGGUAAGUAAUACAUCGGAACAUGUCCUGUAGUGGGGGAUAGCCCGGCGAAAGCCGGAUUAAUACCGCAUACGAUCUACGGAUGAAAGCGGGGGACCUUCGGGCCUCGCGCUAUAGGGUUGGCCGAUGGCUGAUUAGCUAGUUGGUGGGGUAAAGGCCUACCAAGGCGACGAUCAGUAGCUGGUCUGAGAGGACGACCAGCCACACUGGGACUGAGACACGGCCCAGACUCCUACGGGAGGCAGCAGUGGGGAAUUUUGGACAAUGGGCGAAAGCCUGAUCCAGCAAUGCCGCGUGUGUGAAGAAGGCCUUCGGGUUGUAAAGCACUUUUGUCCGGAAAGAAAUCCUUGGCCCUAAUACGGUCGGGGGAUGACGGUACCGGAAGAAUAAGCACCGGCUAACUACGUG
rnacentral:rRNA from 1 species